CCCCUCUCAGGGUCGCACCUGGAGAGUUUCCAGUACUCUACCAGUCUCGACUACAGGAGGGAGAGACAAGCAGAGGCCUAGCCGUUCCAUUGCUGGCUUGGGCAGUGUCUAGAGAGUGGAAGGCCAUCUGCUACAAAU
rnacentral:snoRNA from 1 species